rnacentral:rRNA from 1 species
UACGUAGGGUGCAAGCGUUGUCCGGAUUCAUUGGGCGUAAAGAGCUCGUAGGCGGCUUAGUAAGUCAGGUGUGAAACCUCCAGGCUCAACCUGGAGACGCCACUUGAUACUGCUAUGGCUUGAGUUUGGUAGGGGUAAGCGGAAUUCCUGGUGUAGCGGUGAAAUGCGUAGAUAUACGGAGGAACACCAGCGGCGAAGGCGGGUAGCUGGGCCAACACUGACGCUGAGACGCGAAAGCUAGGGGAGCAAACAGG